UGGGGAAUAUUGGUCAAUGGGCGAGAGCCUGAACCAGCCAAGUCGCGUGAGGGAAGACGGUACUAAGUAUUGUAAACCUCUUUUGUCAGGGAACAACACCUGCAUGUAUGCAGCAAUGAGUGUACCUGAAGAAAAAGCAUCGGCUAACUCCGUGCCAGCAGCCGCGGUAAUACGGAGGAUGCGAGCGUUAUCCGGAUUUAUUGGGUUUAAAGGGUGCGUAGGCGGUCUGGUAAGUCAGCGGUUAAAUGUCGGGGCUCAACCCCGGCCUGCCGUUGAAACUGUCGGACUAGAGUUUGAGAGAAGUAUGCGGAAUGCGUAGUGUAGCGGUGAAAUGCAUAGAUAUUACGCAGAACUCCGAUUGCGAAGGCAGCAUACCGGCUCCACACUGACGCUGAUGCACGAAAGCGUGGGUAUCGAACAGG
rnacentral:rRNA from 2 species